rnacentral:rRNA from 1 species
CAGUAGCCGCGGUAAUACGAAGGGGGCUAGCGUUGCUCGGAAUGACUGGGCGUAAAGCGUGCGUAGGCGGUUUGUUAAGUCUGUUGUGAAAUCCCCGGGCUCAACCUGGGAAUGGCAAUGGAUACUGGCAAGCUAGAGUGUGUCAGAGGAUGGUGGAAUUCCCGGUGUAGCGGUGAAAUGCGUAGAGAUCGGGAGGAACAUCAGUGGCGAAGGCGGCCAUCUGGGACAACACUGACGCUGAGGCACGAAAGCGUGGGGAGCAAACAGGAUUAGAUACCCCAGUAGUCCCUGUCUCUUAUAC